rnacentral:rRNA from 1 species
AGAGUUUGAUCCUGGCUCAGGAUGAACGCUGGCGGCGUGCUUAACACAUGCAAGUCGAACGAACUUUCGGGUUAGUGGCGGGCGGGUGAGUAACGCGUGAGAAUCUGCCCUCAGGAGGGGGGAUAACGGCUGGAAACGGCCGCUAAUACCCCAUAUGCCGAGAGGUGAAAUGAAUUUCGCCUGAGGAUGAGCUCGCGUCUGAUUAGCUAGUUGGUGGGGUAAGAGCCUACCAAGGCAUCGAUCAGUAGCUGGUCUGAGAGGAUGAUCAGCCACACUGGGACUGAGACACGGCCCAGACUCCUACGGGAGGCAGCAGUGGGGAAUUUUCCGCAAUGGGCGAAAGCCUGACGGAGCAACGCCGCGUGAGGGAUGAAGGCCUCUGGGCUGUAAACCUCUUUUAUCAAGGAAGAAGAUCUGACGGUACUUGAUGAAUAAGCCACGGCUAAUUCCGUGCCAGCAGCCGCGGUAAUACGGGAGUGGCAAGCGUUAUCCGGAAUUAUUGGGCGUAAAGCGUCCGCAGGCGGCCUUUUAAGUCUGUCGUCAAAGCGUGGAGCUUAACUCCAUUUAAGCGAUGGAAACUGGAAGGCUAGAGUGUGGUAGGGGCAGAGGGAAUUCCCGGUGUAGCGGUGAAAUGCGUAGAUAUCGGGAAGAACACCAGUGGCGAAGGCGCUCUGCUGGGCCAUAACUGACGCUCAUGGACGAAAGCCAGGGGAGCGAAAGGGAUUAGAUACCCCUGUAGUCCUGGCCGUAAACGAUGAACACUAGGUGUCGGGGGAAUCGACCCCCUCGGUGUCGUAGCCAACGCGUUAAGUGUUCCGCCUGGGGAGUACGCACGCAAGUGUGAAACUCAAAGGAAUUGACGG